rnacentral:rRNA from 1 species
CAGUAGCCGCGGUAAUACGUAGGUGGCAAGCGUUGUCCGGAAUUAUUGGGCGUAAAGCGCGCGCAGGCGGAUCGGUCAGUCUGUCUUAAAAGUUCGGGGCUUAACCCCGUGAUGGGAUGGAAACUGCCAAUCUAGAGUAUCGGAGAGGAAAGUGGAAUUCCUAGUGUAGCGGUGAAAUGCGUAGAUAUUAGGAAGAACACCAGCGGCGAAGGCGACUUUCUGGACGAAAACUGACGCUGAGGCGCGAAAGCCAGGGGAGCGAACGGGAUUAGAUACCCCCGUAGUCCCUGUCUCUUAUACA